UCUUCAGUUCCAUCACCACUCACCAGCUUCAUCGCCCCAUCAUUACCAUCACCACAAGCAAUACCAUCAUCCCGCCACUAGCAGCAAAACCAGCAACUACGAUCGAUGUCAAUCUCUCCAGAAGUUCUUCUUCUCCCUCAAACAACUAAAGUUCAUCCAACAAUCAAUGAAGGAGAUGGAGAUUUAAGUCGACCGUUUCAAGCAAAUCAUGAUGAAUAUGAAGAUUUUACUUAUAAAAUCUCAAACCCCUUAUUCACAAAUCCAAUUUCUAGAGUUACAAAAUGAACAUUCACAGAAGAUGCAAUCUUGCAUAUUUAGUUCUGGUAAGAUUUCAUCUGUUACUUUUGAUUUAGUAGUCUUAAUUCUUAAUUGUGGGUUUGAUCUGGAUUUAUCGAAUUUUCCCUAAAUUGACAAUUAGGGGUUUAAUAUAAUUACACUGUUAGUUGCUCACAGUUGGAUUGAAACCCAAUUUCCAUCAAACUAUUGUGUCAAUCUCAUUGGAAAAAAACAACUGCAUUUGCGAUUAUAGGUUUUCUUACUUCCUCAUAUCUCUAAAAGUUAAAAUUUUCAAUAUUUCUAAACAUAUCCAUUUAUGUGAUAAUUUUGUAGAUUCAAUUUAAGGAUCAGGAAGACUCAUGCUUAUGUUGAUGAAUCUAAAAUUGUGAAUGCAACCAAUCUAGGUUAUUGAUAAUCUCUUUUGAUUUCACUUCACACUAUAUGAUUAUUUCCUGUAUCUGGAUGGAUAGUUGUAAAUCAAUUUAUUUGAUGUUAGAAACCUUCACAGUAGAAGGAAAAAGAUGCAUAGUAUCAAGGAAAUAUAGGAGGCAAAAAAUGGGAUAUAUGGAGGCUAAUGUUGUAGAAUUCUUUAACUAAAUUCUAUGUUUUUUAGUCCAUGAACAGAAAGGAAUGAGACCAACGAAUGAGGCGAAACAUGUAACUGUUAUAGAAGCAGGCAUAUCAAUUCAACUAAUCUGUUGUAUGGAGGAAGCCAUGUUGUUUCCUUAUCAUAUAUUUAUGCAUCGAUUUUAGUGUCUCAUCUGCUCUGUUGAAAAUGACACUUCGUGAACUGAUAUGUUUUGCAUGCAGAGUGAAUGUUUCCCCAAUUUGCUUUUCAUCUUGAAAUAUUACUUCUUUUAACUCAAUAAUUGAAAAUAACAAUCUUAUUUCUGUUUUUCUGAAGUCACUUUUGAGUUGAAGUGUCUAUUCUUCCGUAUAUACUACUAGGUUUUAGUUCAAUAUGUACUCGCACCAAGACAUUCUCGAUUGUGGGAUUAUUCCAUAUAAGGCUCAGGGUGCAGAGCAGCUUUCGAAUAUGGGGAGUUGGUUGGAGUUAGCAAUUUAGCUCCAUCAGAUGGAAACGGAAAAGCGACAGUUAUGACGCACUUCAGUUCUUCACAACGGCUUUCUUAAUGCAAUUCCGGACUUGGGACACCAGUUAAUAUGGGAGAUGAUCUGGGUGCUUGAGUUGUGAUGGCGAAAACAAUUUUCAGGUUGGCAGCGGGUGGUGUUGGAUUUUCCAACUCCAAGUCCAAUCAAGCACUUCACUUCCGUGAUGGUACUAAUUCAAUCUUCACCAGCGGAACACUUUUGGCAACUUGAGAUUCUAUAAAACUUCUUAUGGGUUUCAACUUGAGAUUUUAUAAAACUUUUGCAUUAUCAUAGUGAGUAUUAUGUAUAGCUCACUGCGUUUUCAUGUCUUCAGUCUCAACUUGAUUUACUUGGUUAACCUGUAGUGCUUUGUCGAUUUGCGAUUACUCGAUAUAAAUGUGAUUGAAGACUGUGAUGCAUGCUUUAGCAACAUGUUUCGUGUAAUUGUUAGAUGAUUUGGGUAUCCAAAGUUGCACCUU